UCGGGGGUGGGGCACGCGUGGGAGAGAGGGACCAGGACGCCGGAAGGAGGCUGACUACCGGCCCCUGGUCCCAGAUCAGUGACCCCCCCGGGUUAGUCCCUGUGGCCACUGCAGCAAAUCACCACAGAUGUGUUGGAGUUCUCCUCCCAGUCCUGGAGAUGUACAGCGUGCUUGAGAGGCCACGAAGGGGCAGUUUGGUUGCCUAGAGUUUAAAUUAAAUCAUAUGCAUGCCUCAUGGGGAUGAAUCCAAGGUGUCAGCAAGGGUCCUCUGGAGCCUCCAGGGGAGAAUCCGUCUUCCCGCCUUUUCCAGCUUCUAGAAUCCACCUGCACCCUUUGGUUCGUGGCCCCUUCCUCCUCCUCCAAAGCCAGCAAAGUGGGUGGAGUCUUUCUUUUAUUGUAAACAUACAUUUUUUUAUUGAAGCACAGUCAGUUUACGGUGUUGUCAGUUUCUGGUGCACAGCACAGUGCUUCAGUUACCCGUGAACAAACAUACGUUUGUUUUCAUAUUCUUUUUCACCACAAGUUACUACAAGAUACUGAAUACAGUUCCCUGUGCUGUACGGUAUGAGCCUGCUGUUUGUCUGUUUUAGAGGGUGCAGCCUUUCUCACAGGGCACCACUCUGACACUGACUCUGCCCACUCCCACGUUCAAGGACCCUGUGAUGACACCAGCCCACGGACAGUCCAGGACAACCUCCGCACCUCAGAGUCGGCCGAUUGGCAACCUUAAUUCCAUCUGCAACCUUAAUCCCCUUUGCCACGUGACCUGACACGGUCACAGCCUCCAGGAUUAGGAUGGGGGCCCUGGGAGACUUUAUUCUGCUGACCACUCCCUCUGUCUACAAGCCCCCCCACCAAGCAGAGCCUCUAAGUGCCAGGGGAUCCUUGGCCAAGAGGAGGAAGGAUCCCGAGCGUUUCCUCGGCUGCGCCUGGCGUGCUUCAGCAGAGAGAGUCAUAUUUUUCCUAUUAGCAUCAUUUACUCUGUCACUGGGACUCGAGUACAAACCAAGUGGUCACAAACAUGAGAGAUGAACGGAGGCGGGAGCUGGCCACAGGAGAAACGCCGGGGCCAGGCCAGGCCCCCUCGCUCUCCCGGGCCCAGCCCCACACCCUCCGCUUGCCGGCGCCGCGGGGCUGCCGUAAGGGGUCCGUAAAGGACCGCGUAGCUGCACCUCGCGGCCGGGGGAGGUGGGCCGCCCUCCGCCAGGCUCUGCUCUGCGUGUCGCCUGGAACCAGGAAGGCCCCUCCCGGGCAGCAGGCACAUCCUGAGCCCCCCAGCCCUGGUGGCUGACAUGCAGCCAUGGAGGGAGAGGUGUGCGGCACAGGAAGUCUCAGCCCCAGGCCCGCAGGGCCCUGGAAGUGUGCAGCUGGACAAGCGGCUGAGCAUUGGGAACCCAGGUGAGGCGGCCAGCCCCUGACCCAGGUGCUGCCACACGUGCUGGAGGAGAGGCUGCAGCGAGAAGCUGAGGGGAUGAGCCCCCACCCCAAGUGUGGUGCUGAAACUGGGGGCACAGGUUCUGGGCCAGCAGAGCCCACUGGUGGAGCCUCU